AUGGAAAAAAUGAAGGACGCGCCGGUACAAAAAGGUGAAGAGCCAAAGUCUACUAUUCAAAUUGUCGAAGAAGUGUUGUUGAAAUCUGUCAAGCAAAGCACAUUCCUCACGAAUUUUGGGCUCCAGUCAUCUAGGAACAACUCCCGCAAAGCAACUGCUGAAGUGUUUGCUCAUGUUCGUGACCUUGAGCAGAAGCUGGAGAGGUCCGAGCUUCAAGCUGAACUGGUGCAAGAAGAAUUGAUGGCAAUCAAGAUGAAGGCGGAAGAAUCUGAAGCUGCACGCGACAAGGAACUUGAGCUGCUGCGCAAGAAGUGUCAAGAACAGGAAUAG
rnacentral:rRNA from 1 species